GAUGAACGCUGGCGGCGUGCCUAAUACAUGCAAGUCGAGCGAACAGACGAGGAGCUUGCUCCUCUGACGUUAGCGGCGGACGGGUGAGUAACACGUGGAUAACCUACCUAUAAGACUGGGAUAACUUCGGGAAACCGGAGCUAAUACCGGAUAAUAUAUUGAACCGCAUGGUUCAAUAGUGAAAGACGGUUUUGCUGUCACUUAUAGAUGGAUCCGCGCCGCAUUAGCUAGUUGGUAAGGUAACGGCUUACCAAGGCGACGAUGCGUAGCCGACCUGAGAGGGUGAUCGGCCACACUGGAACUGAGACACGGUCCAGACUCCUACGGGAGGCAGCAGUAGGGAAUCUUCCGCAAUGGGCGAAAGCCUGACGGAGCAACGCCGCGUGAGUGAUGAAGGUCUUCGGAUCGUAAAACCCUGUUAUUAGGGAAGAACAAAUGUGUAAGUAACUAUGCACGUCUUGACGGUUCCUAAUCAGAAAGCCACGGCUAACUACGUG
rnacentral:rRNA from 1 species